rnacentral:rRNA from 1 species
AAGGCUGAGCUGUGAUGGGGAAGCUCCUUAUGGAGCGAAGUCUUCGAUUCCCCGCUGCCAAGAAAAGCUUCUAGCGAGAUAAAAGGUGCCUGUACCGCAAACCGACACAGGUAGGCGAGGAGAGAAUCCUAAGGUGAGCGAGAGAACUCUGGUUAAGGAACUCGGCAAAAUGACCCCGUAACUUCGGGAGAAGGGGUGCUUUCUUAACGGAAAGCCGCAGUGAAUAGGCCCAAGCGACUGUUUAGCAAAAACACAGGUCUCUGCGAAGCCGUAAGGCGAAGUAUAGGGGCUGACACCUGCCCGGUGCUGGAAGGUUAAGGAGAGGGGUUAGCGUAAGCGAAGCUCUGAACUGAAGCCCCAGUAAACGGCGGCCGUAACUAUAACGGUCCUAAGGUAGCGAAAUUCCUUGUCGGGUAAGUUCCGACCCGCACGAAAGGUGUAACGAUUUGGGCACUGUCUCAACCAGAGACUCGGUGAAAUUAUAGUACCUGUGAAGAUGCAGGUUACCCGCGACAGGACGGAAAGACCCCGUGGAGCUUUACUGUAGCCUGAUAUUGAAUUUUGGUACAGCUUGUACAGGAUAGGCGGGAGCCUUUGAAGCCGGAGCGCUAGCUUCGGUGGAGGCGCUGGUGGGAUACCGCCCUGGCUGUAUUGAAAUUCUAACCUACGGGUCUUAUCGACCCGGGAGACAGUGUCAGGUGGGCAGUUUGACUGGGGCGGUCGCCUCCUAAAGUGUAACGGAGGCGCCCAAAGGUUCCCUCAGAAUGGUUGGAAAUCAUUCGUAGAGUGCAAAGGCAUAAGGGAGCUUGACUGCGAGACCUACAAGUCGAGCAGGGACGAAAGUCGGGCUUAGUGAUCCGGUGGUUCCGCAUGGAAGGGCCAUCGCUCAACGGAUAAAAGCUACCCCGGGGAUAACAGGCUUAUCUCCCCCAAGAGUCCACAUCGACGGGGAGGUUUGGCACCUCGAUGUCGGCUCAUCGCAUCCUGGGGCUGUAGUCGGUCCCAAGGGUUGGGCUGUUCGCCCAUUAAAGCGGUACGCGAGCUGGGUUCAGAACGUCGUGAGACAGUUCGGUCCCUAUCCGUCGUGGGCGUAGGAAAUUUGAGAGGAGCUGUCCUUAGUACGAGAGGACCGGGAUGGACGCACCGCUGGUGUACCAGUUGUUCUGCCAAGGGCAUCGCUGGGUAGCUAUGUGCGGAAGGGAUAAGUGCUGAAAGCAUCUAAGCAUGAAGCCCCCCUCAAGAUGAGAUUUCCCAUAGCGUAAGCUAGUAAGAUCCCUGAAAGAU